GUAAGGAAUAUUGGUCAAUGGACGAAAGUCUGAACCAGCCAUGCCGCGUGGAGGAUGAAGGUCCUCUGGAUUGUAAACUUCUUUUAUCUGGGACGAAAAAAGGUCUUUCUAGAUCGUCUGACGGUACCAGAUGAAUAAGCACCGGCUAACUCCGUGCCAGCAGCCGCGGUAAUACGGAGGGUGCAAGCGUUAUCCGGAUUCACUGGGUUUAAAGGGUGCGUAGGUGGGUUGGUAAGUCAGUGGUGAAAUCUUCGAGCUUAACUCGGAAACUGCCAUUGAUACUAUCAGUCUUGAAUAUUGUGGAGGUUAGCGGAAUAUGUCAUGUAGCGGUGAAAUGCUUAGAUAUGACAUAGAACACCAAUUGCGAAGGCAGCUGGCUACACAUAUAUUGACACUGAGGCACGAAAGCGUGGGGAUCGAACAGGAUUAGAAACCCGUGUAGUCC
rnacentral:rRNA from 1 species